UAAUUACUCCAUCCGUCCCAAAAUUCUUGUCUUAAAUUUGUCUACAUAUGAAUGUAUUUAGUCACGUUUUAGUAUUUACAUACAUUCAUUUAUAGACAAACUUAAGACAAGAAUUUUGGGACGGAGGGAGUAGUUA
rfam:Hordeum vulgare subsp. vulgare, WGS project CAJW01000000 data, contig: morex_contig_48741